rnacentral:RNase_P_RNA from 1 species
GAAGUCAGCCAGACCGUCGCUGCUCCUGACGUGCAAACCGAGGGGGGAGAGGAAAGUCCGGGCUCCACAGAGCAGGAUGCCGGGUAACUCCCGGACGCUAUAAGUCGCCGCUCGCGCGGCGCGCGAAGGCGAGGAACAGGGCCACAGAGACGAGUCGCUUCCGGUCAAACUGAAGCGGGUGAAACGCGGCAACCUCCAUCCGGAGCAACACCAAGUAGGCGGACAUCGACGCUGCUCGCGUAACGUCCGCGGGUAGGUGGCUCGAGUGCGUCGGCAACGGCGCGCCUAGAGGCAUGACGGUCAUAGCGAACCUCAUGGGGUUCGCCGUAACAGAACCCGGCUUAUAGGUUGGCUUCGAAU